AAAAAAAUGAUAUUAUGUAUCGAUGAGUAUAGUAACACAUGAAAAAACCAACUGAUAUAUACAACACUUGGCCAUUGGGGUUAGUACAUCUAGAGACAAGACACUACCAUAACUUUACAUUAGUAUAAAAAGCCUCUAAAAGAUACAUAGACUUAUUUAGGGUCGGGACAAACCCCCGCCAUACUCUUGACCUUCUGCACAAUACCAAAAUAUAUGGAACAGACUCGGAAAGCCCUGAAGCAACCUGGAGCUCACCAAUAGCAGCUGGAUAUCCUGGGCUUCUACUAAGGAGUCCCGUUUGCCAAAUCACCUGUGCCUAUAACAUGAAAUAUAUGUCUCCUAUAAGGGGAGUCAGUACCAAAAUAUAUACUUAGUAUGCAAGGCAAAAGAGUAACAAUAAAUGAUACAAAUGCUCAAUAGAAAUCAGAUAUAACUGUAUAAGUAGUACUAGUAGACCACCUUUAUAUAUGCUUGUGGGACUACGUGCAUUAUGUUCCUUUCUUUAUUUUUACCUUUCUUACUUCAAAGUAUUUGUAAGCCAUAUAUAAAGCAAAUAACCAGUUGAUCAGUGGUAAAUAGAUAAACUAGGAUCGGCCUAUGCUAGGUUACGCCCCUGAGCUUCCACCUACAUAUAAAGAUUAGGAUCGGCCCAUGCUAGAUUUAUGCCCCUGAUCUGCAACCCACAUAUAAAGGUAUCGAGAUCGGACCAUGCUAGGGUUAUGCCCUUGAGCUACCACUCAUUUUAGAUUCACGUUACUUAGUAUAUUUAUCCUUUGAGAUUGUUACUUUGUUGGUCAUAACAAUAUGGUACCUUGAACCAAUAACCUGCUAAUAAAGAGACAUAUAAAAGGGCACUUAAUGCAACACAAUAAGGUAGGGAGCUGUUGUCACACAAAUGAAGUAUUUAGGAGCUGAAAAUAACACAUGGGUCUUAUUUGAGUAAACGGAGAACUUCUAAAAAUUUCAAAUGAAGAUAGGUGUGCAGGUGUAAUAAUAAGCAUGUAUUGAGGUGUUUUAACAUGUUAGAGAGUGGGAACAAGAUCAUUGGCUUCAUGGGAUACAAUAUGCUACUAUUAUGUGUCACUUAUUACAGGAUAACCUUCAAAACUUACUAGAUGGAACAAAUGUUCAAUUUUAUACCAAAGAGUACAAAAUGGAGUAUGCUUUACAUGCCUGGUUAUAUAACUCUAAAACUAACACGAAUUGGCUUCCCUCCUUUUAGACUACUUAUCCACAAUAGAAUAUAUGGUAAACUAGCAUUAGCAACCAACUAACAUAUUUAGGCUACUUACUUCAUCCAAAACAGUAACCGGGUAGCAAACCAUUAAUCUAUCAAUCAAGGGUGUUAUUUUAACCCUUUUCUCCUCUAAUUACACCCACAUACCAUAUAGGUUCUUAUAAGAUUCACCAAAACCACCUCGGCUUCAUUACAUAUUCCAAACAGUACUAAAAAAAGAUUAGGCAGUAAACAAAUGUAACAAUUGGUUUGGUGGUGUACCGUCACACCUUUCUUCUAUAUUUCAUUACAAACUAAUCAUAUAUCUCUCCAACAUAAAGCUAGUAGCCUAUAACAUAUACAUACAAAUCUGUCCACAAAACAACCUCAAAUCCCUUUUAUUUAAGCAAUCAAUUAUUGAACUCAUCAUCUCUUGAGUUCUCAAUAACAACACAUCCAUAAUUCUCUUUCAAAUUCACAUACAAGGAGAUCAAAAUGGAGCAGUCACCUUAUCUCAAUUCUAAAACUUAUUAUUUUAAUUUGAACACCUCAAAACUUCAACUUUCACUUUCCUUCACACUUUAAACCAAACAAGAAAAGAGAUCUCUUAAUAACAAAGAAAAAGUGAGCAAGUAGCUUGUUCUAUAUUCUUCCAUGUAUUUGUAAUUAGGUACCUAUAGCAUGUUUUCCUAAUAUUCCAUGAGAUAAUUAAGCCAAACUAUAAGUGCUUUCACUUACCUUGGGCUGCAAAGGUGAGGGUUUCUUCAAGAACCCUAGAAGGAAUUUUUGGGCUGCACCUUGUUGUUUUAGAGAGAGUAGAAAGAUUUUGUGAAAUAUACUCUUUUUUGUGACUUAAUGCAAACUUGGUUUGAGAAAUGAAAGUGUCUAUUUAUAAGAAUCACAUUAGGUUAUAUGUUAGUAGGUAAAUUAGUUGGUUGGGUGAUUUUGAUAUUUAUAAGAGUUGGGAGAGUAAAAUCAUAUUUAAGGAAGAUUUUUCAAAAGUCUAAAAAAAAUCCUUCAAAAAACACAUGGUCAAACACAACUCCAACUCCAACUUAAAAAAUUAUUAGUUUUCAUGACCAAACGCCUACUAAUUAUUAUAAUCUACUUCCUUUUGGGUGUUGUGGUCUGGAGUUCAAAAAUUGUUCUUCCCUGUACCCCUUAUAAGAACUCAUUCCAUACUAACUAUAUUUACCUCAUCCGAAAGGGCAGGGUGUUUGGGAAUUCCUUAAAAAUCUUUAGGAAGUCCAUUAAAUAUUAUUGUUAGAUGAUGUCAUAGUGAGGAAAAUUUUGCAAUCAUGUUGACAUCACCCUAGUAUAGCGGGAAUCUUCCCUCACUAUAGUGGUGUAUCUAUAGUAGCAUGCAGGAUACAAUAGCGGUAUACCAAGCUGUCUCUAUGCAAAUCAUAAGACUUUUUUCUUUUGUGCUUUAAAUCAGAAUGUUUUAACUUUAAAUAAAAUCCCUUGGGUUUCCUCAAGAAACUAGAAUGAUAAUAAUGAAGUACAGUUAGAAAGGGCAAACCUUAAAGAUUUCUCACAUUUUUCACAAUAAAAAUUGCUAGAACAGGUCUAGGAGGAGAAUUCAUACCUCUAUAGCAGUUGAUUAUUUCAUAGGUAGGCUAGGUAAGUAGUUAGCCUUAUCUUGAAAAUGCACUCAUAAAGCAUGUUAGUGGGAAAUUUAAUGUUAGUAUUAUGGACAAUGUCAUCUGAUGGAUAAAGCAAGUAUAUUGGAGUAAACAAGAAUGAAGUUACUAUUUAUGUAAUUGUAUGGUGAAUUAUUUCUUCUAAUUACCUGCUAUUUUUAUGCUUGCCAAUGGAGUAGUAAAGCGGAAAUAAAAUAGUUACUAUUUGAGGAAUAUUCUUUAAGAAGAGAUGAGUUCAUGGAAAAUAUGGUGUUAAUUCCUUAAACCUUAUUCUAUUAGUGAUAGUUGAUCUUUAGAAUACAAGUUCUAGCUUGAUAUUAAAAAAUAUGGUCUUCGAGUAUACUAGUAAGAGAGUUUAGGGUUAUUUAUGAAGUAACCGAUCUAUGAUUAUGUAGUAUUAAGAUAGAAGCUAUGGAGUUAUUGAUGUUCUAGUUUAGAGGAAUUGUGGAAGUAUGAAAGUAUCAAGAUAUAUAUCGUGAUACAAUCAUAAAAUAGGUAGUUAACUAGAUUUACUAUAUGUAGUCCCUUUUCAUGGUUAUUGGCUGAUAAUAGGUGAUGUGCUAAGGGGUCAAAUUCCUUAAAUAAGUUGUAGGCUAGGGUUGAAUUGGAGUUCAGCCUCAAUUAUGUUGUAUAUGUACAUGUUAACUAAUUAUUUAUUUAUUUAGAUGUAAUGCACGCUAAGGAACAUAGAAUUUGGUUUAUGUAACUCACUAUGUGAUUGUACUUUUUUACUGUACCAUUUUCUAUUGUUAGAUGAACUCAUAAAGUUUGAUCAUAAUUGAAUUAGUGGAUUUUAGUGGAUAAGGGUAGGGACAUUAGAAUAAUGAAAGUAUAACACUUGGCUUGGAAUAAGAGUGUGAACCACUAAUUGUCUGGGAUAUUUUGUGCAUAGACUAAUCUCAUCCUUUUUAGGUCAUGGCUAGUGGGUAGUCAUAAGUCCCAUAGCAUAUAUGUACAUUUUUAUUUCGUGAGUUCAAAGAUUUCUUGAUUGAACUGGGUUAUAUUAUGUUAUUAUUAUAUUGGGUUCUUUGUGGACCAUUGCCUAAUGAUAUUUCUUGGGUUCUUGAAUGAAUUAACAACUUGACUUAAUGAUUUGUACAAUAAACUUUAAGUGAUGGUAUAUGUAAGGGUGAAAAAUGAAAACACUAAUUGUUAAAUUCUUUCUUGUUUUUAGAGUCUUUUUUAUACUUUUCCUAAGUACAAUAAGAUUUGAAUGUUUGAGGAAGCUCAUGAGGGUUUAUUGAUAUUUGAUUUUAUUUGAGAAACCGAGUGUAUCAUUAGUUCUUCGGUUAAUAAUGAACCUUCUGAGUUACUGGUUUCUAUAUUAGAUUUAUAGGUAAAAUAUUUUAAUGAAUAGAUAAAAUUGUUAUAGGGGAAGGGUACUGCUAGAAAUCAAUUAACAAGGUCACUACUAGCAAGGAGUACCUCACUGCCAUAACCCCACUGUAGCAGGAAUUCUCCCAUUAUAGUGAGGCUGCUAUAGUUGAAGGGACGCUGCUAUAGAAGGGACCUGGGCAGUGUCCCUAUUCUGCUUUCUAAUGAUUCUACACUUUACCCCAACUUGUCAAAUAAUAAUCAUAAGAUACUAUUAAGUAUGUAAGCCAGUCUAUAUCUUAAAUAAUGAGAUAAUAAUGGCAAAUUCAUUCGUAGAUUAUAAGAAUUAAAGUAUUCAAAGGUGUGCAAAGCUAAAAGAUUGUUUUUACAAGCCUUAAACAAGGGAAACACAAAUAUAAUAGCAAUAAUAAGAUGGAGGCAAGAUAGUGUGCAUUCUUAAAAUUUAGACCCCGCCAUUGUUUAAGCUUGAAGCAUUGGAGCCCUCCUUCUCUAUACCUCUUAAUAAUGAGAACUCUAAAACAUCUUCCAUUUUAAACUUAGGGAGCUUCUCAUGAGGGACGAUGCACCUGAACAUGACCUUUUCAUUCCUUCACAUCUAGGCAAGCAUAUGAUCUAGGGAAUUCCUUUACUUCUUCUCCUCAUCCAACAUCCUACAAAGCUCUGCAUAAGCUUAAGCCAGGUCUAACAGGGUUAUUAAAACUAAACAGAGUCGAACCUUAAGAAGGCAAGUAGGGUUGGUAUAAAUAGCUCCUCAAAAUAUUCAUGUCUACCUACAAGAGCUCAUAAGACAUAGAGGGAUAUGUAGGAGGUUUGCUGGUCUCUUCACUCUCUUCUACCCUACUUUUCUUUUCCUAUAUCCGUAUUUCCUUUAUUCUUACAUUAACCAUAUGCACUCUUGACCUUGAGUAGGCUAACGGGUCAGUCGAACUCCAAAACUUAAUUAUAUUCCUUCCGAGGAACACCUAAAAAGAUUCAUAACACUAUAAUCAAGCUAGAAAGAUAAGUAUUCUUCUUAUUUCCUUGUUGACAUCCUUCUACUCCAACAAAAUUUGGGCCUCUAUAUUCAGCCGAAUUGCCAAAUUGCAUGGGUUUCUACCAAAGCUUGAGGAUGUGUCACAUCUGUGGAGUUGCCCGAAAUAUGAAUCCUCCUAGUUACAAAAUUAAGCCACCUCAUGUCAUCUACAUUAAAGUGUUUAAUCUUAAUCUCCUCAAUGAUCAUCUAGUAGACCUUUUCCUAGUCAGCAUCCACUAUCAGAGUGCCUCGAAACCACUGUAGGCUUAUCACAACAAGCUUUGACUUAAUUUCAGCAAUAGGGAUAUUUAGUAACCCCCAAAGCCUCAUAAAUCAUAGAAACAUCCGUGGUAACCAUCACUUCAUCUAUAUGGAUGGUAGGUUAAGGGUUGUACCAAUGAAAAGUAGAAAAAUUUCCUAAAAACUCCUUGACAUUGACCAUUAUUCCAUUUGGGCAGGCUCCACUAGUAGUAUCCAUAUGAACUCCUAUAUCAGGUAUACAAUUUUGGUACCUCCUCCUCAAUAUCUGUUAUAAUGGAUCCUCUCGCCUAAAAAUUCCAUUAUUUGAUAGUCUUUGUAUCUUUAUUGUUAGGUUUUGUCAGGAAACCACUAAAAGGGAAGGGGAGCAUUGUGUUAGUUUUGUUCAUCCAUUGCGUUAGCAUUCCAACAAAAACACUGCGAAAUUAAAUUAGAGGCCAUGGAAGUACUAAAUAAUUUUAAAUAUUCCCAAAGUUAUUGAGUUAAUGUUUUAGGGAAGGAUAUUGUUUACCUCCCAUUAUUGCAAAAAGCAUCUUGCUUUCGCAGGGCUACUAUAGUUGGAAUUUUUCUUCUAUAGUAAGAUGAAGUCACUACAAUAGCCUUCAUUAUCCCUAACCCAUCUUAGUGCAUCAAUGGCAUAUUUUUUUAAUUUUUACAAUUUUAUUACUUUGUAACAUAUCAGGGUUGUUCAAGUACAAUAAGUAUACUAAAUAAAAGAAUUUUAGCGGUAACACUCCGAUCAGAGCCCCAAUGGUUGUGAAACUUUUGAAAAUGUACCCUUCAAAUUCUACCCUUUGUUUAAGCCCCAAACUAUCCAUGAACUUCAUAAAUAUUAUGAUUAGAAAGCCAUUGGAGCAUUAGUAAUGUAAAGGACACAAGUAUGCUUCAAAAUUUUGAUCGAAAUGGGAAAAAAUCAUCCAACUUCAAAAACCAUCCCUAAUAAUAUAUUUGAAUGAAUUCUAGCCUUUAUCUUCCAUUAUUAGUGUGACAAAAUAAAGAGACAAAGUUAGAAAGAAUGUUUACCUUAAUGCGGAUAUCAGGAAGGAGUGCUUGAUCGGCUACGAAAGGAAAGAUGUGAUUUAAGAAUAUAAUUAUGGUGAUACCCAUUUCUCCUCCCUUUUAAACUGCAAGUGGUCCACUAUAGCAUCCCACCUUCUACAAUAGCAGCAGGG
rnacentral:lncRNA from 1 species